rnacentral:lncRNA from 1 species
GGGAGUUUAUGCCUUGUUAAGUGUAAUCAGUCUGGUGAUAAGGGGACAAUUUCAGCUGUGUGAGAUAUAAUUACAUCAUAAACUCCACAUUACAAACAGGGCAAGCAGAGGUGAAAAGGUAAAGAGGAAAUAAACAAUGAUGCCCUUUGGGGAACGUGACAGAGGAGACAUUUCUGGACUCCAUUUCCCUAAGAGAGAAACUUUUCCAGAGGGAAUGGGAGCUGCAGGCAUGCAGGAAAGACAGACUUUGGCGCUAGCACCUGUCCUGGUUCUUCCAGUAGCCUGAAAGGAGUGCUUUACUGUUGCUACACCUGAGGUUUCAAAUCUUCCAGCUGGAGUGGGAUGCUACUUUGGGUCAGUUAAAUAUGAAGCGUGUUUCAGAAAACAGACAAACGUUUCUUUGUGACCUGAAGCUGCAGGAAAGCAUCUGCUACUGUGAUGCCAGUUGAACUGUGAUGACAGCCAGCUGUAAAGAGAAAGGAAGCACAGAGAGUUUGGAUUGUAGCAAAGCUCAGCACCUUGCUGCAGAGGACAAGGCUUCCUGAACAAAUGUGGACAUGCUGGUCUGAAUUUGAUCACACACAUGUCCUAAAUCGCAGACACUACCCCCAAGAUGUCCAACCGUUGAAACAUCUGGCAGACUCAGAGUUGGAGCAGAUGACUGGAUCUUCUCAUCACCUAGGACCGUGCUUCCUGCUAGGAGAUCCAUUACCACUGGAGGAUAUGGCCUUGACAAGAAUGAGAGCAUGACAAAUCCUGUCCAUGUCUUUUGCCAUUACCAGGAGGGUGUGAGGUGGCAGUGAAGCAUGAGGCUGAAAGAGAGAGAAGUGAAGACAGCAAGCAGUGAUUGCAGAGGCUGCCUGCACAGCUGCUGGACCGCUCACCAGGAGAGAAGUGGGUGUUGAGGACCUCCACAUACCCUCCAGUCUCACCACCCUUGUGCAAAGUACAACUGUCUGCAGAAAACCUAGAGAGAAAUAUUUUUGGUUGCAUGCUUGCAGAAAUAAACAAACAAACAAAUAAACA